CCUCUCAAGCCUGCAGUCCCUUCCUCCCCAGCACCAAAGAAGGAUUGGUGCUCCAUAAUGCAUGCUCUUCCUUCCCUGGGGAACCUCAACAAGCACUACUCUGGUUGUUUACAUUCCUGGCUUUCGCCUAGUUUUCCAGGUUAUCAAGAUUUCUGUCAGGGCCCUCUUCUGAUCCCCUCUAAACAGGUUUUAAGAUGCCAGCUUUAAUGGAGUUACUUCUGAUUUAGUUCACUUUGGCAAGGAAUCACUCCAUGACCCUCCACAGGAUUUGUUGCGUAUCAACUCUCUAAUUGUGCUGCAUAAUGCUUUUGUUUUCCUUACGGGUCCUCCUAGCCCCAAAUCCAUGCCUCAGCAAAAGUCCCACCGUAAGUUCAUCUUCACAUCACAGCCUGAAGGGGGACGAAGAAACAGAGCAUCAGGAUGACAGGAAGAGAAUACAGCAUGGGCUCUUACCUUCCACUCCAUUUUUCCUGUUGUCUGUGGCUUUCCCCUGCUGCAAGAAUAAGAAGACAAAGGACUUUUGCCCCAAACCCAUUUCUGCUGAUGCUUACACUAAGUUGAGACAUUUUAAUCUGUCCUGUCCACAAUAACUCUGUUCAUCCCAUCUGGGUCUUUCACUGAAAGAAAAAUCUCACCUGCUUUAGAGGUGUCUGUUGGUUUGUUAGAGAGCAAUCAAGUCUAGUAAAGAGAUUAAAGGGGCAGUUCCAGAGACAGAUGAGAUACAUGGAAUGGUGUCUACUGGAUGCAUCAAUCUUGCAUCUAGUUACAGUAAAUCAGUGCCACAAUGAACUCAAUCCAUUUCAUGAACACAAGGGCUAAGGGUUCAUUUUACAGCUGAGAGCAGUUUAUUCCCAGAAGUUAAUGCCCUGCAAAAGAAGAUGAAGCAGAUGAAACAUAUCAAGCUGGAAGUCAAA